GGAUCGCUUUAUAUAGAGAUGGU
rnacentral:siRNA from 1 species